rnacentral:rRNA from 1 species
GACGAACGCUGGCGGCGUGCUUAAUACAUGCAAGUCGAACGGAAAGGCCCUGCUUUUGUGGGGUGCUCGAGUGGCGAACGGGUGAGUAACACGUGAGUAACCUGCCCUUGACUUUGGGAUAACAUCAGGAAACUGGGGCUAAUAUCGGAUAGGAGCUCCUGCUGCAUGGUGGGGGAUGGAAAGUUUCGGCGGUUGUGGCUGGACUCGCGGCUUAUCAGCUUGUUGGUGAGGUAGGUGCUUUCCAAGGCUUUGACGGGUAGCCGGCCUGGGAGGGUUACCGGCCACAAUGGGACUAAGGGACGGAGCAGACUGCUACGGGAGGCAGCAGUGGGGAGUAUUGCGCAAUGGGCGGGAGCCUGAUGCAGAAACGCCGCGUGCGGGAUGACGGCCUUCGGGUUGUAAACAGCUUUCGACUGUGACGAAGCGAGAGUGACGGUAAUGGGUAAAGAAGCACCGGCUAACUACGUG